AUCACUUCCCUGCCUUGUGGCCCAGAUGGAGUGUUGUUGUAUCUGCUCUUACCAGGUUAAUAUCUGAUAUGUCCUCUGUCCGAGGACAAUAUAUUAAAUGGAUUUUGGGAGCUGGGAGAUGGGACAGCAGCUUGCUGUGUAGUGUUCCUGCCUGCACGCAGACCGGCGCCUUGUCUGCAUGGGCAGAACACCU